rnacentral:rRNA from 1 species
AGUGAACGCUGGCGGUAGGCCUAACACAUGCAAGUCGAACGGCAGCACAGUAAGAGCUUGCUCUUACGGGUGGCGAGUGGCGGACGGGUGAGGAAUACAUCGGAAUCUACUUUUUCGUGGGGGAUAACGUAGGGAAACUUACGCUAAUACCGCAUACGACCUACGGGUGAAAGCAGGGGAUCUUCGGACCUUGCGCGAUUGAAUGAGCCGAUGUCGGAUUAGCUAGUUGGCGAGGUAAAGGCCCACCAAGGCGACGAUCCGUAGCUGGUCUGAGAGGACGAUCAGCCACACUGGAACUGAGACACGGUCCAGACUCCUACGGGAGGCAGCAGUGGGGAAUAUUGGACAAUGGGCGCAAGCCUGAUCCAGCCAUACCGCGUGGGUGAAGAAGGCCUUCGGGUUGUAAAGCCCUUUUGUUGGGAAAGAAAAGCAGCAGGUUAAUACCCCGCUGUUCUGACGGUACCCAAAGAAUAAGCACCGGCUAACUUCGUG